rnacentral:ribozyme from 1 species
AAACAGCAAAGACACACAGAAGACGCACAAACAAAAGAGGUAGUAGAAGGAAGAGUGGAUUUAUUCCGUUCCGUUCCGUUCAGUUCCGUUCUCCUUUCUUUUUUGUUUGUUUGUUUGUUUGUUUAUCUUUUGUUCUCUUUGUUUGUUG